AGAUCCACCGCCACCAUGACCGCCAAUGGCACGGCCGAGGCGGUGCAGAUCCAGUUCGGUCUCAUCAACUGCGGCAACAAGUAUCUAACGGCCGAGGCGUUUGGGUUCAAGGUGAACGCAUCCGCCAGCAGCUUGAAGAAGAAGCAGACCUGGACCCUGGAGCAGCCGCCGGACGAGGCGGGCGGCGCGGCAGUGUGUCUGCGCAGCCACCUGGGUCGCUACCUGGCCGCCGACAAGGACGGCAAUGUGACCUGCGAGCGCGAGGUGCCGGACUCCGACUGUCGCUUCCUCAUCGUGGCGCACGACGACGGUCGCUGGUCGCUGCAAUCCGAGGCGCACCGACGCUACUUCGGGGGCACCGAGGACCGCCUGUCGUGCUUCGCGCAGAGCGUGUCUCCAGCCGAGAAGUGGAGCGUGCACAUCGCCAUGCAUCCCCAGGUCAAUAUCUACAGCGUCACUCGCAAGCGCUAUGCGCAUCUGAGCGCGCGACCCGGCGAUGAGAUCGCCGUGGACCGCGACGUGCCGUGGGGCGUCGACUCGCUCAUCACCUUGGCCUUCCAAGACCAGCGCUACAGCGUGCAGACCUCGGAUCACCGCUUCCUGCGCCACGACGGGCGCUUGGUGGCGCGUCCCGAGCCCGCCACCGGCUACACGCUGGAGUUCCGCUCCGGCAAGGUGGCCUUCCGCGACUGCGAAGGUCGCUAUCUGGCCCCAUCCGGGCCCAGCGGUACCCUCAAGGCCAGCAAGGCCACCAAGGUGGGCAAAGACGAGCUCUUCGUCCUGGAACAGAGCUGCGCUCAGGUGGUGCUGCAGGCAGCCAACGAGAGGAACGUGUCCACGCGCCAGGGUGAGUUGGGGACACCUCCCUCCACCUCGGUGGCUCCCCCGGUCCAUUGCACAAAAGCAUUCUCCACGCCUGCAUCCUUUCCCCAUCGUCCGGUGCGCCCUCCUUAGGCGCACAGGCCAUUGCUCCCCAUUUCGGGGU